rnacentral:rRNA from 1 species
CAAUCAAGUGACCUAAGGGCAUCUGGUGGAUGCCUUGGCGCACACAGGCGAUGAAGGACGUGAUACGCUGCGAUAAGUCACGGGGAGCCGCGAAUAGGCUUUGAUCCGUGAAUUUCCGAAUGGGGAAACCCACCGCUUCGGCGGUAUCGUCAUCUGAAUACAUAGGGUGACGAGGCGAACCCGGAGAACUGAAACAUCUCAGUACCCGGAGGAAAGGACAUCAACCGAGACUCCGCUAGUAGUGGCGAGCGAACGCGGACCAGGCCAGUGCCUUGAUUAAGAUAACUGGAAUCUUCAGGAAAGUUGAGCCUUAGAGGGUGAUAGCCCCGUACAGGUAAUGCUUAAUCAAGGACUCGAGUAGGGCGGGGCACGUGAAAUCCUGUCUGAACAUGGGGGGACCACCCUCCAAGCCUAAGUACUCGUGUGCGACCGAUAGUGAACCAGUACCGUGAGGGAAAGGUGAAAAGCACCCCGACGAGGGGAGUGAAACAGUUCCUGAAACCGGAUGCCUACAAACAGUGGGAGCCCUUCGGGGUGACCGCGUACCUUUUGUAUAAUGGGUCAGCGAGUUAGUCUGCCGAGCAAGCUUAAGCCGUUAGGUGUAGGCGCAGCGAAAGCGAGUCUUAAUAGGGCGCUCAGUUCGGCGGAUUAGACCCGAAACCAGGUGAUCUAGGUAUGAGCAGGCUGAAGGUGCGGUAACACGCACUGGAGGGCCGAACCCACCUAUGUUGAAAAAUGGGGGGAUGACUUGUGCCUAGGAGUGAAAGGCCAAUCAAACCUGGAAAUAGCUGGUUCUCCGCGAAAUCUAUUUAGGUAGAGCGUCGGAUGAAUACUCUCGGGGGUAGAGCACUGGAUGGGCUAGGGGGCCUCACCGCUUACCAAACCUAACCAAACUCCGAAUACCGAGAAGUACUAUCCGGCAGACACACGGCGGGUGCUAAGGUCCGUCGUGGAAAGGGAAACAGCCCUGACCGCCAGCUAAGGUCCCCAAGUUAUGGCUAAGUGUGAAAGGAUGUGAGAAUCCCAAAACAACCAGGAGGUUGGCUUAGAAGCAGCCAUCCUUUAAAGAAAGCGUAACAGCUCACUGGUCUAAAUAAGGGUUCUUGCGCCGACAAUGUAACGGGGCUUAAGCCAUACACCGAAGCUGCGGGUGUGCACUCUGUGCACGCGGUAGCGGAGCGUUCCGUAAGCCUGCGAAGGGUACUCGCGAGAGUGCCUGGAGGUAUCGGAAGUGAGAAUGCUGACAUGAGUAACGAUAAGGAGUGUGAGAGACACUCCCGCCGAAAGUCCAAGGGUUCCUGCGUAAAGCUAAUCUGCGCAGGGUUAGCCGGCCCCUAAGGCGAGGGCGAAAGCCGUAGUCGAUGGGAACCACGUUAAUAUUCGUGGGCCAGUGGGUGUGUGACGAAUCCCAGACGUAGUUAGAUCUUAUUGGAUUGAUCUGGCUGCUAAGGGGUUCCAGGAAAUAGCCCCCACAUCAGACCGUACCCUAAACCGACACAGGUGGACUGGUAGAGUAUACCAAGGCGCUUGAGAGAACUGCGUUGAAGGAACUCGGCAAAUUGCCCCCGUAACUUCGGGAGAAGGGGGCCCCGUGCUCGGGCAACCGGGUGCGGGGGGCACAGACCAGGGGGUGGCGACUGUUUACUAAAAACAUAGGGCUCUGCGAAGCCGCAAGGCGACGUAUAGGGUCUGACGCCUGCCCGGUGCCGGAAGGUUAAAAGGAGGAGUGCAAGCUCCGAAUUGAAGCCCCGGUAAACGGCGGCCGUAACUAUAACGGUCCUAAGGUAGCGAAAUUCCUUGUCGGGUAAGUUCCGACCUGCACGAAUGGCGUAACGACUUCCCCACUGUCUCCAACGCAGACUCAGUGAAAUUGAAUUCCCCGUGAAGAUGCGGGGUUCCUGCGGUCAGACGGAAAGACCCCGUGAACCUUUACUAUAGCUUUACACUGGUAUUCGUGAUGGCAUGUGUAGGAUAGGUGGGAGGCUUUGAACCAAGGGCGCCAGUUCUUGGGGAGCCACUGUUGAAAUACCACCCUUGCAAUUAUGGAUAUCUAACCGCGGCCCGUUAUCCGGGUCCGAGACAGUGUAUGGUGGGUAGUUUGACUGGGGCGGUCGCCUCCCAAAGAGUAACGGAGGCGCGCGAAGGUUGGCUCAAGCUGGUCGGAAAUCAGCUGUCGAGUGCAAAGGCAUAAGCCAGCCUGACUGCGAGACUGACAAGUCGAGCAGAGACGAAAGUCGGCCUUAGUGAUCCGGUGGUCCCGUGUGGAAGGGCCAUCGCUCAACGGAUAAAAGGUACUCCGGGGAUAACAGGCUGAUGAUGCCCAAGAGUCCAUAUCGACGGCAUCGUUUGGCACCUCGAUGUCGGCUCAUCACAUCCUGGGGCUGGAGCAGGUCCCAAGGGUUCGGCUGUUCGCCGAUUAAAGUGGUACGUGAGCUGGGUUUAGAACGUCGUGAGACAGUUCGGUCCCUAUCUGCCGUGGGUGUUGGAGAUUUGAGAGGAGCUGUCCCUAGUACGAGAGGACCGGGAUGGACGCACCUCUGGUGGACCUGUUGUCGCGCCAGCGGCACAGCAGGGUAGCUACGUGCGGAAGGGAUAACCGCUGAAAGCAUCUAAGCGGGAAGCCUUCCUCGAAACUAGAUCUCCCUUGAGAGCCGUGGAAGACCACCACGUUGAUAGGCUGGGUGUGGAAGCGCAGCAAUGUGCGAAGCUAACCAGUACUAAUUGCUCGAUCGGCUUGAUUGCUUUCAUU